CAUUAGAUAACUUAAAUGUAAGUGUUGAUCUCUUAAAUCAAAUUAUAGUAUAUUAACGAAUACUUCUAAUGG